GACCGCUCCGGUGGCCUAAUAUUUUAGAGCGUCCGCCUCUGAUGCGGGAGGUCGUGGGUUUGAUCCCCAGCCAAGUCA